rnacentral:lncRNA from 1 species
CGGCGACUGGAUUCUCUCCCAAAGAGAGCAACCACAGCCACAGCCACUGCAGAAUCAGCAACAACAGCUAGGUCAACAAUUCAAUUGACUGCGUUGAUCCACCGGUUAAGAAUUCUUGGUAAAUCAGAUCCACUGAACAAAAUUACAGAAAGAAAACGAAAGGAAAGGAAGUAGAAUUUAUAUUAGUAUCGUUAGUAUUUGUUAAUUUUUUAGGGUGUUCUUUUAAAGAUUUUCGUUUAUAGGUGAAGGACGGAACUGUUUCUUCGAUUUGAAAUCAUGGACGGAUAGGAUAGGUUGGAAAAUUGUAAAGUGGGUUAUUAGUUGACAGUUGAUUGUUGUUUGGAUUAAUAGAACAAGUGAGAAACUAAUGGGAACCUAUCUCGGUUUCCAAAUAUAUUGAAUGUCUUUAAAGUUUGUGUAGAAACUUUAUUUUGCUAAUUGAAUCUCCUGCCCCAUUCAAUACUAUGUUAGAUACCCUCUUAAAUUUGGCUUAACACAGGCCCUAGUUUUCAAUAGCAGCACCAAUUUCUAUUUGUAGCAAUUUAUAAUGUUGUUCCUAUUUUUGUUCUGUGUGUAAUAUAGUCAGAGUAAGAGACUUAACUAUUAUAUUGGCUAUGUAUGGAUAUAUGAAGCUUGAUAUGAUAAUUAAACUUGUCGUUGGUUUAACUAAAUUAGGUCUCCACCUUGUGUAGUUAGACUGUUAGACUUUGUUAAAAUUGGAAAAGAAGCUAUGGAACUAAUCAAAC